UACGAAGGGUGCAAGCGUUAUCCGGAAUUACUGGGCGUAAAGCGUGCGCAGGCGGUGAUGUAAGACAGGUGUGAAAUCCCCGGGCUUAACCUGGGAACUGCAUUUGUGACUGCAUUGCUGGAGUGCGGCAGAGGGGGAUGGAAUUCCGCGUGUAGCAGUGAAAUGCGUAGAUAUGCGGAGGAACACCGAUGGCGAAGGCAAUCCCCUGGGCCUGCACUGACGCUCAUGCACGAAAGCGUGGGGAGCAAACAGG
rnacentral:rRNA from 1 species